rnacentral:RNase_P_RNA from 1 species
AUGGCAGGUCGUUCUAUCGUGCCGGCUUUAUAAGCCGGUAAGGAAAGUCCGGACAACACAGAGCAUCCCGCCCCCGGAAUACGGGGGAUACCCUGCGGUAAACGCAAGGUAAUGGAUAGUGUCGCAGAAAAUAACCGUCUGCCGAAAGGCGGAUAAGGGUGAAAACGCGAGUUAAGAGCUCACGUUCCGGCAGGGCAACCUGCAGGAAGGAUAAACCCCGGGAGUUGCAAGACCAAAUAUGCCGUGGCUUGAGGGUGGCUCGCCCGAUCACGGUGGGUAGGUUGCAUCAGAUAAAUGAUAGGAUCCUAUUUUGCAGCAAUGCAGAAUAGCCAGACAGAAUCCGGCUUACAGACCUGCCAUUUUU